rnacentral:rRNA from 1 species
UACGGAGGGGGCUAGCGUUGUUCGGAAUUACUGGGCGUAAAGCGCACGUAGGCGGCUUUGUAAGUUAGAGGUGAAAGCCCAGGGCUCAACCCUGGAAUUGCCUUUAAGACUGCAUCGCUUGAACAUCGGAGAGGUAAGUGGAAUUCCGAGUGUAGAGGUGAAAUUCGUAGAUAUUCGGAAGAACACCAGUGGCGAAGGCGGCGAUCUGGGUCGAUACUGACGCUGAGGUGCGAAAGCGUGGGGAGCAAACAGG